GUUUAGACUUCCCUUGCAGGUCCCGGCGGCGACCGCGGCUUCCCUGACUCCAGCUUCUCCGGCGCAAGCGGAUUUUUGCACCAACAUGCCUAAACAAGGAGAGAGACGGCUGGACCUCGACUACGUGGCAGAGGGAGAGAAAUCCUAUCAAAAACCUAAAAGAAUUAGGGGCCAUGGAAGCCAAGGAGAUGUCCAAGAAACGGAAGAGGGCAACGAC
rnacentral:lncRNA from 1 species